CCUACGGGUGGCAGCAGUGGGGAAUAUUGCACAAUGGGCGAAAGCCUGAUGCAGCAACGCCGCGUGAGCGAUGAAGGCCUUCGGGUCGUAAAGCCCUGUCCUCAAGGAAGAUAAUGACGGUACUUGAGGAAGAAGCCCCGGCUAACUACGUGCCAGCAGCCGCGGUAAUACGUAGGGGGCUAGCGUUAUCCGGAAUUACUGGGCGUAAAGGGUGCGUAGGUGGGUUCUUAAGUCAGAGGUGAAAGGCUAGGGCUCAACCGUAGUAAGCCUUUGAAACUGGGGAACUUGAGUUCAGGAGAGGAGAGUGGAAUUCCUAGUGUAGCGGUGAAAUGCGUAGAUAUUAGGAGGAACACCAGUUGCGAAGGCGGCUCUCUGGACUGUAACUGACACUGAGGCACGAAAGCGUGGGGAGCAAACAGGAUUAGAUACCCGAGUAGUC
rnacentral:rRNA from 1 species